UAGUUUCUGCCAGUGCCGCGGGCCCAGCUCUUAUUUGUUAUCUGACGGCUUUGGCCGUCCGAGUUGUAUUCUAGAGAAGCGUUUUCCGCGCUGGACCGUGUACAAGUCUCUUGGAACAGAGCGUCAUAGAGGGUGAGAAUCCCGUCUUUGACACGGACUACCAGUGCUUUGUGAUGCGCUCUCAAAGAGUCGAGUUGUUUGGGAAUGCAGCUCAAAAUGGGUGGUAAAUUCCAUCUAAAGCUAAAUAUUGGCGAGAGACCGAUAGCGAACAAGUACCGUGAGGGAAAGAUGAAAAGCACUUUGGAAAGAGAGUUAAACAGUACGUGAAAUUGCUGAAAGGGAAACGCUUGAAGUCAGUCGCGUUGGUUAGAACUCAACCAGGCUUGCUUGGUGCAUUUUCCAGUCAACGGGCCAGCAUCAGUUUUGACUGCAGGAAAAAGAUCAGGGAAAUGUGGCACCUUCGGGUGUGUUAUAGUCUCUGGUUGCAUGCUAUGGUUGGGACUGAGGAUCUCAGCACGCAUCUGUUGUGCUUAGGAUGCUGGUGUAAUGGCUUUAAACGACCCGUCUUGAAAUCGGACCAAGGAGUCUAACAAACCUGCGAG
rnacentral:rRNA from 1 species